UGGAGGCAGCAGUGAGGAAUCUUGCGCAAUGGGGGCAACCCUGACGCAGCGACGCCGCGUGGGUGAAGAAGGCCUUCGGGUUGUAAAGCCCUGUCGUGGGGGAUGAAACAGUCUCGGGCAAUACCGGGUUGUGACAGUACCCCAUGAGAAAGCACUGGCUAACUCCGUGCCAGCAGCCGCGGUAAUACGGAGAGUGCAAGCGUUGUUCGGAAUUACUGGGCGUAAAGCGAGUGUAGGCGGUCAGGUAAGUCGAGUGUGAAAGCCCGGGGCUCAACCCUGGAACGUCGCCCGAAACUACCUGGCUUGAGUUCGGGAGAGGGAAGCGGAAUUCCCGGUGUAGAAGUGAAAUUCGUAGAUAUCGGGAGGAACACCAGCGGCGAAGGCGGCUUCCUGGACCGACACUGACGCUGAGACUCGAAAGCGUGGGUAGCAAACAGGAUUAGAUACCCUGGUAGC
rnacentral:rRNA from 1 species